ACUGGAGUUCACACGUGUGCUUGGUCAAUACUGCCAUAAUCCUUACCUUCAGUUCAUCUUUGGUGUUACAAGGAGUUUUGCUGGUCUCUCGCUCGACUUUACCCCACACAUAAUGAUCAAAGGGAUUACAGUCUGGGGAGUUUGGUGACCAGAUAUUAGGGGUGAUGUGGUCACAGAAAUUGUCUGACAUCCAUGACAGGGUUAUCCUGCUUGUGUGGCAUGGUGCAGAGUCCUCUUGCCAGACAAAGGGUCUUCCAGUAGCCAUACGUUUGACCCACGGCAGC